UGCCUCGUUUUACAGGAAACUUCAUCCCUGUUUUAAGCCCUGCUGUGUGCCCAGAGGGCAGGUUUCCUUGGGGUUAAAAUGGCCAACAUAUAGGAGGUGAAAGGACUUCACCUGUGUUAUAGGACAUUUUUAAAUUCAAAAGCCAGGCCGGCUGAAUUUUUUCGUUGCUGGGGGGAAAAAAGACAUUUAAAAAAUAGCUAUCGCACACCUGCACUGAGGAAUGUCAGGCUAAACAAAGGGGUGCAGAUUAAGAGAGUUGCAGAACUGGCAAGCUCCCCUUAUAAAAACAAUAAAUGAGGGCUGGGAAACAACUCAUGCGGAGCGCUUUGGAGCGCCCCACCCAGCCAUUUGGCAAGAAGCCAUUGUCCACGUGGAGCACAUGUGUUUGCUGUUGCCUAAAAAAGUCCCCAUCUGGCAUCUGCAAUAUUCCGACUGCGUGCAGCUUUCAAGGCAUUCAAGACAACGAUGUGACGCAUCUUGAUGCACGCAGCUCACACAUAUAUUCAAAUUCUGUUGAGAGCUCCAUGUUGCAAGGCAAAGGGGAGGCUGUCCACUCACAACUCCUCCCCUGCCUUCACCCAUUUGUUCCAUUUUUCUUCCAGUUUGGGGAGACCUGACAGGAGGCAAUGCUGGAGAAAUCAGCAGGCAAGGAAGACUCAACUCUCCCACUCUCAUCCUCAGUGACUCUCCCCACAAAUGCUGCUACUACACCUAGCAAAUGUGUGUUUGGGAAAGGUGUUUCACCCAGGCAAUGCAAAACCCCACUUUUUGUUACUCAGCUGAAGAAAGCAAAUGGCGAAGGAUGCCUGGGCAAGAAUUGAGGCCUGAAAGAAUGCACCCCCCUCUCAUGCAAUGAAGUGGUACCCACAUUCUGGCCCCAAGUAGUCAAGUCACCUCUGCUAUUUUUAAUAGGCCAAGAGGGGCAGGUGUCAAGAGGGCAAGUGGCUGGGCAUAUGGUCGCCAGCACCUUGUGUACACCAGGUGACUGCAUAAGCUGAAACUGAUCCCACCACACAUCCUUGGCAUUGGAUACUUCAUCUGGAACUGCAGAAUCAAGGUCACUCUGCAGUUAGACUUUACCCUCCAAAUGUGUUGCCAGUUGGUCACAGUGGGUCUCUGCAUGCUUCAGAGGUUGCUUCCCCACUAGUUACAGAGGAUGCCAGGCAAGCUGCAAAAUGAGCCUUCUUCGCAGCCCACAUAGCCACAUGGUAAGCAUGAUUAUGUGCUCUAGCCAGCAUUCACUUGGCUUCGGAGUGUGUUUUGCGCCAUUGGGGCUCUAGUCUUCGUGCAGCGUGCUUUAUAGCCAGAAGCUCCCCAGGAUAUCAAGGAGCCACUCAGGCUCCAUGGGGCUAGAGAGGAUGCUUGGGAGUGAUUGUGUCAGCUGCCCGUUUCAUCUUGCCAUGCCAUAGCAAAGCCAGGGUUUUGGCAGGAUUGUGGGCAUCUCCACUAGAAGACCCCCCCAAGAGCAUUCAGGAUUGCUUCAGGUUCCACAAGUGUCCAAAGGCAGGUGAUCUGAACACCCACCAGAUUUACAGGGGCAAAGUGCUGCUACAGUUCCAAAGUUAACCAUGUUACAUGGUCCAGCCAUGACAAAGGAGUUCAUUGCUGCCCCCAUGUCUUCAGUCUCCAUCCCUCAUAUUGAUGUGUUGGAACAGUGACUACUUGAGAAUCAGGAUAGGAACCAAAUGUAUAGGUCUCCACCCCAGAUGGUGGUCAGCUCCCCCACUCCUACUAUACCUUCCCCUGCUGCUGCCACUAAAACUGGGGCCACAUCUUCCUAACUCUCUGCUGCCUACCCAGCCAGGCGCAUCCUAGGACCAUCAUCUGAGAUCACUGUAUACAGCUGGGUGAUUAGGACCACAUUGUGUUCACAUUCUUCCCAUCAUUAGAUGGGAAACAACAUCUCUAUGGAGAAUGGCUAUGAUGUAGCACCUGUAAUUCAUCCAGUUCUUUUAUUUGAUAAAGUAUAUCAUGUGUCCUUCACCUAUGAAGACAUGCAAGCUGUACAUGAGACCAUCAAGGAAAUUACAGCUGGAAAACUGAUACAGUAUAGAGACUCACUUCUAAACAGGCAUAACAGCUCAACUGAAUUUACAAAUCAUCUUAACCCUUACCUGGUUUAGAUUGAAUGUAUUUUGGCAGCGCUACAACACACUAGUUGGCAAGCGAGACGCAGUAUAUGGUUUGGCUGGCUUGCAAAACAUAUAAUAGGCUAAAAACUACUGCCAGCCGGUUGCCUGUGAGCCCCCUGUAAACACGGGACAUGUUAUUGUGACCUCAUAGAAUUUCAUGAACACUCAGGAGGGAAGUUGUCAAGGAAACUGCUGACAAGAUGCAGAAGUAAAAAAUGCACUUCACUGAGGAAAAAACCUUCACACAGAACUGAGGAACAGGGGUAGAUGCGAGUUGUUGACAUGAAGAUAGAGUUAUUGGGAUGUGGAGUAAGAAAGAGAGAGAGCUUUUCAGCUGAAUGCAAAGCUACCUUGUUUCCUCCCGAGCCAAGAUCGCCAGUAGCUUUGAAAUAUCGCCUGGACAGUCAGAGAUCAGAAUGGAGAAUUUGCAAACCCUGUUGUCCAGCGUAAGGGCACGAUCUAUGCAUUGCCUCAUCAGUGAAAGUUCCAGGUUACCACUGCACACUGCAACAGCCACUCUGGAAAAUGAAUAAGAUAACCAGAAAUUCAUUACUAUACAAAAGAAGUCCCUUCAUCAUGUUUUAUAUCAGCGUGAUAACAUCUGCUAAAAUGUACAGUAUGUUAUUGCCUUCCCCCAUCCAUUACAGCUGCCAUUUGCAUAGAUGACAAAGCAAAUGAUAUUCAUUUGAUAUCUGUCAAUUCAAGCCAGGUCUCUGAAAUAGUCGAUUGUUUAUAUGUCAUUUUUUUAGAACAGACAUCCAUGAACAAAAUCGACCAAGAGUACUAUCACAUCAGCCAUUUACACCCCAGGAAAACUGUUUUGAAUGGCAGGCUUGGUUCUUCCCCAGUAGAGCAUCUGUUUGUGUUCAAAAUUAGGCCGACUCACAAGUAGCUUGCAUGUUGCGCUUUGUGGAGUAAACUUAUUGCAGUCCAGCAAUUGGCAGGAUCUAACUGUCACAAGCCGAUGAGGGGACAAGAAGAGA